rnacentral:rRNA from 1 species
GUAGGGAAUUUUCGUCAAUGGGGGAAACCCUGAACGAGCAAUGCCGCGUGAGUGAAGAAGGUCUUCGGAUCGUAAAGCUCUGUUGUAAGUGAAGAACGGCUCAUAGAGGAAAUGCUAUGGGAGUGACGGUAGCUUACCAGAAAGCCACGGCUAACUACGUGCCAGCAGCCGCGGUAAUACGUAGGUGGCAAGCGUUAUCCGGAAUCAUUGGGCGUAAAGGGUGCGUAGGUGGCGUACUAAGUCUGUAGUAAAAGGCAAUGGCUCAACCAUUGUAAGCUAUGGAAACUGGUAUGCUGGAGUGCAGAAGAGGGCGAUGGAAUUCCAUGUGUAGCGGUAAAAUGCGUAGAUAUAUGGAGGAACACCAGUGGCGAAGGCGGUCGCCUGGUCUGUAACUGACACUGAGGCACGAAAGCGUGGGGAGCAAAUAGGA